rnacentral:misc_RNA from 1 species
GAUGAAGAACGUAGCGAAAUGCGAUAAGUAAUGUGAAUUGCAGAAUUCAGUGAAUCAUCGAAUCUUUGAACGCACAUUGCGCCCGCCAGUAUUCUGGCGGGCAUGCCUGUUCGAGCGUCAUUUCAACCACUCAGGCCCUGGUGCCUGGCGUCGGGGUUUCUUGCUUCGGUAAAAUCCCCUAGAAUCAGUGGCGGACCCGCCGCGGCUCCGAGCGUAGUAGUAAAAUAUCUCGCUAUGGAGGCCCGUGGGGGGAUUACCGGCCGUAAAACCUCUUCUUUACUGAAGAACUUCUCAAGGUUGACCUCGGAUCAGGCAGGAAUACCCGCUGAACUUAAGCAUAUCAAUAAGCGGAGGA